rnacentral:rRNA from 1 species
UACGAAGGGGGCUAGCGUUGCUCGGAAUCACUGGGCGUAAAGCGCACGUAGGCGGCUUUCUAAGUCAGGGGUGAAAUCCUGGAGCUCAACUCCAGAACUGCCUUUGAUACUGGAGAGCUAGAGUCCGGAAGAGGUGAGUGGAACUGCGAGUGUAGAGGUGAAAUUCGUAGAUAUUCGCAAGAACACCAGUGGCGAAGGCGGCUCACUGGCCCGGUACUGACGCUGAGGUGCGAAAGCGUGGGGAGCAAAGCAGG